GGCUCUCGGUCGAGGAAUGAACAGGCGUCCUGUUCUUCUAAGUCCGAUGGCUAGC
rnacentral:pre_miRNA from 1 species